GAUGAACGCUGGCGGCGUGCCUAAUACAUGCAAGUCGAGCGAACAGACGAGGAGCUUGCUCCUCUGACGUUAGCGGCGGACGGGUGAGUAACACGUGGAUAACCUACCUAUAAGACUGGGAUAACUUCGGGAAACCGGAGCUAAUACCGGAUAAUAUAUUGAACCGCAUGGUUCAAUAGUGAAAGACGGUUUUGCUGUCACUUAUAGAUGGAUCCGCGCCGCAUUAGCUAGUUGGUAAGGUAACGGCUUACCAAGGCAACGAUGCGUAGCCGACCUGAGAGGGUGAUCGGCCACACUGGAACGGAAACACGGUCCAGACUCCUACGGGAGGCAGCAGUAGGGAAUCUUCCGCAAUGGGCGAAAGCCUGACGGAGCAACGCCGCGUGAGUGAUGAAGGUCUUCGGAUCGUAAAACUCUGUUAUUAGGGAAGAACAAAUGUGUAAGUAACUAUGCACGUCUUGACGGUACCUAAUCAGAAAGCCACGGCUAACUACGUG
rnacentral:rRNA from 1 species